rnacentral:rRNA from 1 species
UGCCAGCCGCCGCGGUAAUACGGAGGGUGCGAGCGUUAAUCGGAAUUACUGGGCGUAAAGCGCGCGUAGGCUGUCAGUUAAGCGGGAUGUGAAAGCCCUGGGCUCAACCCCGGAAGUGCAUCGGAAACUGGCGAACUUGAGUACGGGAGAGGAAAGUGGAAUUCCGAGUGUAGGGGUGAAAUCCGUAGAUAUUCGGAGGAACACCAGUGGCGAAGGCGGCUCGCUGGCUCGAUACUGACGCUGAGGUGCGAAAGUGUGGGGAGCAAACAGGAUUAGAUA